AGCUUGAGCCCGUGAGUUAGUGCGCAUGCGCGAGAGUGAGGCGCGGGCGGCGAAAAGCAUUAUGGUCGUUUGAGUCCGGAUGUACAGUCCUGUUGACCUUAUUUCAACACAACUAGCACCACCACACAUCUUAAACUUGACAUAUAUACGACCGAAGUAUUACAUGAAUUGCCUAACGACUUAUUUUACUAUUUCGCAUAUGUGGAGUCAGGAUUUGUCACUAUUAUCGCAAGGAAUUCUGGGAAUUGACGUGCCGCCGCGUGCGCGGAGUAAAGCUUUCGCUCGGCGUGUGCAGCUAGUUAGUAACGUGGCUACAAACCAGGCAAAUGAAACUGGCAACCCAGCAGUUGCAGUAAAAGAGGCCAAAGAGCACUUUUUACCCUCUGAUCCUCUGCACCUACUCGAUGAUGCCAUUUGUGAAACGCUCAACAUCGGCACUCUUCCUCCCCUGCACUUCCUCAACGAGACUGUUUUUGAGAAGACCGUCUGUGAGAGGGAGGACACGGAGAACGUUCUGUCCCGCACGGCCGAGCAGAGGUCUGACCUCAUCUCGGGAGUGUACGAGGGAGGACUGAAGGUGUGGGAGUGCACGUACGACCUCCUGGAGGUAAUCGAGAGGGAAGGCGAGACGUUCGGCGGCAAGGCCGUCUUGGAUCUCGGCUGUGGCGCCGGGCUCUUGGGGAUUUUGUCCCUGAAAAGAGGAGCCAGGAAAGUCCAUUUCCAAGACUACAACAGUACAGUGAUUGAGCAGCUCACUGUGUCUAAUGUCAUUCUCAAUUGCCAAGAUGAUGACAGUGAUGAUGAUGAUGACGGAAAAAGGAAGGGUAAAGGAACAACCGACAAGGAAGAAGAGUGUAAGAUGAAACCAAAACAUAACAGACGAGAUAUGUUACUGCCAAGGUGCCAGUUCUUCUCUGGUGACUGGCGCACCUUUCUUACUUUGACCUCAAGUCAGGAUUCGCCAUUGAAAUACGACAUUAUCAUGACUUCAGAGACGAUCUACAACACGGCUUAUUACCCUGCGCUACAUGACACCCUCCACAAACUUUUGGCAUCGGACGGACACGUCUACAUGGCCACCAAGACCCACUACUUUGGUGUGGGUGGCGGUCUGCACCUGUUUGAGGCGUUUGUGGCAGAGAGGGGGAUUUUCACUCUCAAUCACCUGUGGGAUAGCAAAGAUGGACUUCAGAGACAUGUUGUUGUCCUGCGUUUUAAAAAAGAAUCGCACUAGCUCACGGGUCAAUACACUACUAACCAGUAAAACUAAAUAUCAAUUACUACUGUUCAAAAGUUAUGGGUCACUUGGAAAUGUCCUGAAUGUUGAAAGUAAUUUUUUUCUCUCUCUCUCUCUCUCUCUCUCUCUCUCUCUCUCUCUCUCUCUCUCUCUCUCUCUCUCCAGUGAAGAUGACAUAGAAUCAAUCAGAAAUACAUGCUAGACCAAGGGUCAUCCACAGGGUGCCCGCAGGCACCAGGUAGCCCCAAAGUACUACAUGGGGAGCCCGUGCCUGUUCUCAAAAUAGCUCAGCAGUGAUGAGAAAUUGUGACUGAUGCAAUGCUGUAGAAAUGACCAUCUAAAAUGUAAUCAGUUGCAGAGAUUUAUAAAAAUAGUGUUGAAUGUUGAAAUUUACUGCAUCUCUUUCCUACCUUGUUAAAUCAUUGUUGAUCUUUGUGAGAAAUCAUUAAUACAAUCGGUGUCUUCACAUAAAUGGAUAUCAUUAUUAUUAAUGAUUUAAAGAUGAUGCAAGCAAAUUAGUUAUUUCAGAAGUGUGUAUGAAUGUGGUAGCCCUUAGCAUUAAUCAGUACCUAGGAAGUUGCUUUCAGUUUCAAAAAUGUUGGUGACCUCUGGUCUUGACAUCGUAAAUGUAGUUUAAAAAAAAAGAAAAGCAAUGCUUUCAAUAAUAAGGACUUUUCUAAGUGACCUUCAAACUUUUGAAACCUCGUGUGUGUAUAUAAACACAAUAGUGUGUUUUAAUGAACAACAUGAAAUUGUCUAGCUGACCUCAAAUUUUUGGACUGUAGUGUAUACCGCAAACGGCUAUAUUUUUAGUCUGGCACUUACUGUACAGUAAAUUGAGCGGCUUAUCGUUACCAUCUGAUCAGAUGUGACCUUCCAUCACUAACAAUAGUGAUAUGGACCUUUCUCUGCAUCAUCUUGAAGUUUCAAGGCCACAAGGAACCUCACCUGCCUGUUGGACCUCAAUCGGAAUUUAAUAGUGACAACUACAUGUUCCAGUAAGUGAGGAGCAGUUGAAAGCAGGCUGUUCCAGGUCUAUUUAGACGCACCGGGAGGAAAGAAAAGGAAAUGGGCUCAGUGACCUUUGCGAGUGAUUUCCCCCGUGUUCAAACAGCAGCAUGAAAGCCAGGCUUGUUUCUGAAGUCCAACACGAAAUGUCAAUUGCAACUUAUCCCGGCUGCCCGAGGAUGUAGCUUGAAAGUGGAUUCGGGCGUCACGGUACGUCAGUGGUCGGUCUCUGUGGGGUCUCUGUAAGUCUCAUUCUGGAAAAGGACCU